UACGUAGGGGGCUAGCGUUGUCCGGAAUCAUUGGGCGUAAAGCGCGUGUAGGCGGUCCGGUAAGUCCGCUGUGAAAGUCGGGGGCUCAACCCUCGAAUGCCGGUGGAUACUGUCGGGCUAGAGUGCGGAAGAGGCGAGUGGAAUUCCUGGUGUAGCGGUGAAAUGCGCAGAUAUCAGGAGGAACACCGGUGGCGAAGGCGGGUCUCUGGGCCGAAAUUGACGCUGAGGAGCGAAAGCGUGGGGAGCAAACAGG
rnacentral:rRNA from 1 species